rnacentral:miRNA from 1 species
GUAGAUGUCGACAUGUGUAGUGG